GUCCCUUUGGGGACAUCUGAUAAAAUUGGAAUGAUACAUAAGAUUAGCAUGGCCCCUGCGCAAGGAUGACACACACAAAUUGGGAAAUGGUCCAAAUUUUU